GUUGACAUUGCAUGGGAAAACCUGCUUCAAGAGUCAUUUUAUCAGCGGUCGCGGAUCGAGAAGGACGCGUUUUUUUCGAGCUCUCGGGAGACAGAUACUUUGUGUCGCUCACAGCUUCUCUCCUACCGUUAGCGAGAGACAGGUGUAGUGUUAAAGCUUGCUAAACAAUUCGGAUGUUUUUGAAGAGCUCUCUCACAGAAACAACUGAUACCUAUCAAUUAAAGAUGGAGCAGAAGCGAGAUUUCCUCAGCAAGGUGAAAUCCUUACAAGAACUGGAACUAUGGGCUUCAAAUCACCACUGUGCAAAUGAUCCCGAAGUGACCCUAAAACGCAUUGAACUGUUAGCCACACGAAGUGUGAAAACGUCAGAGCAAUGUACUCAACAGCAACCUACACAUUCCAUGCCGCACCAUUGUCAUCAGUGUAAUCGGAAAUUUACACAGAAUAAAUCUCUUUUGCGUCAUGUUCGCACCGUACAUAAUAACCAACGAUUCCAAUGUGUGCAGUGUAAGAAGUCUUAUUCUCGCCUCGAUGCACUUCAAGGCCAUAGCUGUCAGCUGUUCACUUUGAAGAGAAAACAGUCUUCAUCAGGGCCUGCAGCUAAACGUCCAUGUCUGCAGUCAGCGGAAAACCCCCCU